UACGGAGGGGACUAGCGUUGUUCGGAAUUACUGGGCGUAAAGCGCACGUAGGCGGAUUUGUAAGUCGGGUGUGAAAUCUCGGGGCUUAACUCCGAAACUGCAUUCGAUACUGCCGUGCUUGAGGACUGGAGAGGAGACUGGAAUUUACGGUGUAGCGGUGAAAUGCGUAGAUAUCGUAAGGAAGACCAGUGGCGAAGGCGGGUCUCUGGACAGUUCCUGACGCUGAGGCACGAAGGCCAGGGGAGCAAACGGGG
rnacentral:rRNA from 1 species